AGAAAAAUACAGAACUUAACGAGAGUAAAGAAUGUAUAUGUGUUCGAAUUUGGAAUAGAAUCAUCAGGUGCAUAUAUCCAUGCAAAUUCAAGACAGCAGCAAGAAUAUGGAAAAUCCUGUAUAGUUGCAAAUGCCAAGGAGAUGCAACUUCAAAGAAAACCAGUUUUUGGACAAGAUUUUGUAGAUUCCUGAUAUGUGUG